UACGGGGGGGGCAAGCGUUGUUCGGAAUUACUGGGCGUAAAGGGCUCGUAGGCGGCCAACUAAGUCGGACGUGAAAUCCCCAGGCUCAACUUGGGAACUGCGUCCGAUACUGGAUGGCUUGAAUUCGGGAGAGGGAUGCAGAAUUCCAGGUGUAGCGGUGAAAUGCGUAGAUAUCUGGAGGAAUACCGGUGGCGAAGGCAGGUCUCUGGGCUACAACUGACGCUGAGGAGCGAAAGCGUGGGGAGCGAACAGG
rnacentral:rRNA from 1 species